rnacentral:tmRNA from 1 species
GGGGGUGAUCGGUUUCGACGGUGAUCGUCGAGCCAGGUGAAGCGGGUCGAGGAUGCACGGUUAUCUCGUAAACGCUCCGUGCAAACUUAUAGGUGCCGAUUCCAAUCGCACCGACUUCGCCCUCGCCGCCUGAGCGAGCCUCGAAGUCCGUCGGCCUAGACAUGCUCUCGGUCUAGUUCCCGGCGUCAUCUAGAGAGCCACUGCUGUCCGUCCUCGUCGGUGGGGCGGGCGGGACUCUUAGCCGACUGAGCCCGUCCACGUCUUGUCCGCGUGAUCGUGGGGGCUGAGAAAAUCUACUGCGGACUGCACCCGGAGAAGCCCUGGUCCCACGUCAUCGGACGCGGGUUCGAUUCCCGCCACCUCCACGU